CGAGCACGCGCGUGUGGCAUAUCAAUAAGCGGAGGAAAAGAAACUAACAAGGAUUCCCUUAGUAACGGCGAGUGAAGCGGGAAGAGCUCAAAUUUGAAAUCUUCAAGGUUCUACCUUGACGAAUUGUAGUUUAUAGAAGUGUUUUCUGUUAGUGGAGUGGCAAAAGUUCUUUGGAAUAGGACAUCAUAGAGGGUGAGAAUCCCGUAUUUGGUCAUUCCUCCUAGCGUUGUGAUACACUUUCAACGAGUCGGAUUGUUUGGGAAUGCAGUCCAAAAUGGGUGGUAAAUUUCAUCUAAAGCUAAAUAUUGGCGAGAGGACCGAUAGCGAACAAGUACCGUGAGGGAAAGAUGAAAAGAACUUUGAAAAGAGAGUUAAACAGUACGUGAAAUUGUCAAAAGGGAAGCGUUUGACACCAGUGUUGUUUUUCCGAAAAUCAAUUACGAAUGUUUUAUUUUUGAGGAGUUAUGACUUCAUCGGCUUGCUCCUUUCUUUAUGAAACUUUCUUAAUGCACUUUUCGGUUAACAAGUCAACAUCAAUUUCUUCUGUUGUAAAAGGGUAUGAGGAAGGUGGCUUUCUUUUCGGAGAAAGGUGUUUAUAGCCUUGUGCCUCUGCAAUCGGAGAGAUUGAGGUCUGCAGCGUAGAUCCUUCGGGGUUAGAUACGUUUGUGCUAAGUUAUAGCUUUUCAUAGACAACUUGUUGACUAUGUUUAGUCUUGUAGCUUACUCGCUUACGCUAUUUUACCUACGCUUAGGAUGUUGAUGUGAUACUGCGAGC
rnacentral:rRNA from 1 species